rnacentral:rRNA from 1 species
GGUGUUGGGUUAAGUCCCGCAACGAGCGCAACCCCUAUUCUUAGUUGCCAGCAUGUAAUGGUGGGGACUCUAGGAAGACUGCCUGCGCAAGCAGAGAGGAAGGAGGGGAUGACGUCAAGUCAUCAUGGCCCUUAUGUCCUGGGCUACACACGUGCUACAAUGGCCGGUACAAAGUGAAGCGAAACCGCGAGGUGAAGCGAAUCGCAAAAAACCGGUCUCAGUUCGGAUUGGAGUCUGAAACUCGACUCCAUGAAGGUGGAAUCGCUAGUAAUCGCGCAU